GAUCAUGGCUCAGGAUGAACGCUGGCGGCGUGCUUAACACAUGCAAGUCGAGCGAAGCAAUCUAAGUGAAGUUUUCGGAUGGAUUUUGGAUUGACUGAGCGGCGGACGGGUGAGUAACGCGUGGAUAACCUGCCUCACACAGGGGGAUAACAGUUAGAAAUGACUGCUAAUACCGCAUAAGCGCACGGCAUCGCAUGAUGCAGUGUGAAAAACUCCGGUGGUGUG
rnacentral:rRNA from 1 species